rnacentral:rRNA from 1 species
CAGCCGCCGCGGUAAUACCGGCGGCCCGAGUGGCGGUCACUAUUAUUGGGCUUAAAGCGUCCGUAGCCGGGGUGGGAAGGCCUCCGGGAAAUCUGGCCGCUUAACGGUCAGAAUGCCGGAGGAAACUCCCAGCCUAGGGAGCGGGAGAGGCCGAGGGGAUUCCCGGAGUAGGGGUGGAAUCCUAUAAUCCCGGGAGGACCACCUGGGGCGAAGGCGCUCGGCUGGAACGCGUCCGACGGUGAGGGACGAAGGCCAGGGGAGCAAACCGGAUUAGAUACCCGGGUAGUCCUGGCUGUAAACGAUGCGGACUUUGUGUCGGACAAGCUAUGAGCUUGUCCGGUGCCGGAGGGAAACCGUUAAGUCCGCCGCCUGGGGAGUACGGCCGCAAGGCUGAAACUUAAAGGAAUUGGCGGG